UAAUACGUAGGGUGCAAGCGUUAAUCGGAAUUACUGGGCGUAAAGGGUGCGCAGGUGGUUUUGUAAGUCAGAUGUGAAAUCCCCGGGCUUAAACCCUGGGAAUUGCGUUUGAAACUUACAAGACUAGAGUGUGGCAGAGGGGGGUGGAAGUUCCGAUGUGUAGCAGUGAAAUGCGUAGAGAUAUGGAAGAACAUCGAUGGCGAAGGCAGCCCCCUGGGUUAACACUGACACUCAGGCACGAAAGCGUGGGGAGCAAACAGGAUUAGAUACCCUGGUAGUCCACGCCCUAAACUAUGUCAACUAGUUGUUGGGUCUUAUUAGACUUGGUAACGAAGCUAACGCGUGAAGUUGACCGCCUGGGGAGUACGGUCGCAAGAUUAAAACUUAAAGGAAUUG
rnacentral:rRNA from 1 species